UCAAGACCCUUCUACAAGCAAGUUCUCACAUUUGUUGUCCAAGGAGGAGAGGAACCCAUAAAGUGCAUUGCCCCUAACUCUCAAUGCAGAAGAAUGCUGUGUUUGUAAUGGGAUCAGAAGACAUCCUAGGAGAAUAAACAAAGACACCCCCUCUUGGUCCUCCUCCAGGCAUAUGUCAUGUGUCCGGGUGUCCUAAGGUGUUCCUAUUCUGAAACCAAGGCAAAAGAACCAAAUCUCAAUUUUCAUGAUAACGCAAGAAAGGUAAGAGUUAGCAACUAUUCAGAGGGUGUGAUCCCAUGGGGAAAUAGAUCACAAUCUGGACCAGUUGUGGAGUGGUCCCAUUCGAUUUUUCUCCAGCGACCACAUGGUAUGGGAAAAUACACUCUGGCCUGAACCCCAAACUGUCCCAGUGCUGAACCUUUUUUGGCCCAGCUCUAAAGCUUCUGCUUUUUGAGGCCUCCUAGCAGACAGAAGAGUCACUUAGCUCAGGGGUUUAGGUCUCUGGCUCCAGAGCCAGAGGUUGGGAGUUCAAUUCCCCACUGUGGCUCCUUGACAUGGGCUGGACUCCAUAGGGUCCCUUCCAGCUGUGCAGUUCUAAGAUGAUGAUGAUGAUGAUUUAAGGGAGAUUGCUCAAACUGCUUCAUUCAGAGUACUUGUCUACCUCUUCCUAGGAGGCAUUAACAACCUUCUAGGUCAAGGAAAUGUGGCCUUCUAGAUAUUGUUAAAUGUGAGAGUUUUAGUCCCACAUCAUCUGGAGGGCCCCACGUUCCACUGCACUUCCUUACUUUGCCCAUCACCCCUCCAGCUGGAUGUUAGAAGCCAUGGAAUUAGGGGUUAAAGUGAUAAGUGGUCAACCACAUUCCACCGAACACCUUCUUCAUAUCCUCAGGCUGCAAGUAGAAGUGAUCCAAGCAACAUACCCUCAAAUUUUCAGCCCCACUGGGCGGGGCUCCACCUCUCUCAUGUAUGACUUCACCCCUGCAUCCACCUGCAUCUCAGCACCCCUCAUGUGCAGGAACUGGAACCACAUGUGAUUGCUGCACGGAGGAGGAAGAGAGCUGUGCAGAGGGAGGUGGAGUCGUACACACGCACGCAUGUUCCCAGUUUGGAGGGGAUCUUGGAUUCAAGAAACCAGAACCAACCUGUGCAAUAGAUACAGCAGUACAAUGCAAAAGGUUGGUAAUGAUAUACAGCAGCCUCGCUCUCCCCACCAAAAAACUUUCCACAUGAAAUGUGGUGUGCUCACCACAACUGGGACACCUGCGACAUCAUGCACAGGCUUUUGGCUGAGACACAAGAUUGUGUGAGAGAUAGCCUCAGGCACUGAAACUGCUGCUGGAGAUGCUACCCCCAGGCGUGCUGCUAUUUCUAACCCUGACAGGAAGGAUGACAGAUCGUCUGAGCACCACAAUGUAAAGACCCACACACUGUGGUAACUGCCACUCAGGACAAACGGUUGCAGAAACAAAUGUCAUGCCACAUCCUGUUGUGCUUGAAAAGGCCCUCCUUCAAGCUUGGCUCCAAGGGAGUGCAGGCAAGCAGAAUGAUUUCCUAAAGCUCUUCUCUGAAAUAUUUUUCCAUGGUGACCAUUGCUGGUAAUGUCUGGAGCUGACCAACCUUUUUACAGGCUGCUCUGAUUAUGAACUCUCCCUGUUCACUUAGAGCUGGGCCAAAUAUUGGCCAAGCGGAGAAAGCAUGGGGGAUUUCCCAGUUCCCACCUCUUCCCCAUGUUCACUCUGAUAUCUUAAAUCAAACAUUCAAAAGAAUGUUGUGACUCUCAAAGCUCUAAAUCUGAGCACUUUAGACCUGGUAUCAAGGCACUAGGAGCAGCGGGUUGUUUUGGUAGGCAUCCAGUAUGGAAGAAUGAGUCAAACUUCAGCUGGCUGACUAGCUUGGUGAGCCAGAAUACCAGAGUUUGGAAGCUGGAUUCUCCAUUGUGCCUCUGGUAAGAAAAGCCAGCCUGUGUGGUCUUGGGCAAGCUGCGCAUUCCUGAAGUACCUACAGAAUAAGGCCCUGUGUGGUCUUGGGCAAGCUGCACAUUCCUGAAUUACCUAUAGAAGAAGGUGUUGGUAAACCUUCUGAGUCCUCUAUACCUAGAAAACCCUGAGAAGGGUGACCACAAGUCAGAAUCUACUUGAUAGCACACUAUUUAUUUUUAUCAUUAUACGCACUAGAAGGUUUUAGGGUCUACUUUAUUAUUUUUACAAUAUCCCUGAGAUCCAUUCACCAAUGCUUGUACAAAAGACAUACCUUUAGAAUGUGAAUCACACAAAAACAGAACUGAACUCAUAGUCCUGCCCUAUGCACAUUUAUUCCUCUUACUCCUGGCUAUCUUCAUUUUAGCAUGGAUUCUGGAUUUCAUUGGGGAAUGAGGUGGCCGUUUUGUUACAGCUAUUCUUAAACAAUAAAGAACCCAAAAUGUUGGACGAUAUACUCCA
ensembl:lncRNA